rnacentral:rRNA from 1 species
GGAAGGAUCAUUAUUGAAAUAAACCUGAUGGGUUGUUGCUGGCUCUCUAGGGAGCAUGUGCACGCCUUGUCAUCUUUAUAUCUCCACCUGUGCACCUUUUGUAGACCUUUCGGGGUCUAUGUUGCUUCAUUUUUCCACAAUGUAUGUUAAUAGAAUGUUGUGCCCUGUAUAAUAUAUACAACUUUCAGCAACGGAUCUCUUGGCUCUCGCAUCGAUGAAGAACGCAGCGAAAUGCGAUAAGUAAUGUGAAUUGCAGAAUUCAGUGAAUCAUCGAAUCUUUGAACGCACCUUGCGCUCCUUGGUAUUCCGAGGAGCAUGCCUGUUUGAGUGUCAUUAAUAUACAUAUAUCAAGCCUUCUCUUGUAGAAGGGUUUGGAUGUGGGGGUUUGCUGGCCUCUUAAUCUUAAGAGUUCAGCUCUCCUGAAAUGCAUUAGCAGAACAACCUUAUGUUCAUUGGUGUGAUAACUAUCUACGCUAUUGAAUGUUGAGGGGGAAGUUCAGCUUUCUAACGGUCCCUUGGACAACUCAUCAUUAAUGUGACCUCAAAUCAGGUAGGACUACCCGCUGAACUUAAGCAUAUCAAUAAGCGGAGGAAAAGAAACUAACAAGGAUUCCCCUAGUAACUGCGAGUGAAGCGGGAAAAGCUCAAAUUUAAAAUCUGGCGGUUUUUUUGGCCGUCCGAGUUGUAAUCUAGAGAAGUGUUAUCCGCGCUGGACCGUGUACAAGUCUCCUGGAAUGGAGCAUCAUAGAGGGUGAGAAUCCCGUCUUUGACAUGGACUGCCAGGGCUUUGUGAUGCGCUCUCAAAGAGUCGAGUUGUUUGGGAAUGCAGCUCAAAAUGGGUGGUAAAUUCCAUCUAAAGCUAAAUAU